GACCGGUUGAUUUUGCAGGAUUGAACGGAUGUUGCUAAUUCCCCGGGCAAAUGUAGUUUAUAUAUAUGGGUGUGGUUUAUAAACCAUAUUGGUAAUUUAGGUACUGCUUAAAAUUGUGACUAGAGUCAAAUACUUUUCGUGGGAUACUCAGGUGGUCAACAUGAGCUACCAAAAUGACUAUGAAGUGUGCCAGACUUUGCAGUGCCAAGAUUGAGGGGGGAGGGGGGUCAUUUCAGCAGGGAGGAAAAUGGCCUUGCAGAAAUUACCUCCCCAAAACUUGCUUCAAACUGUGACUACAGUCAAAUAUUUUUUCGGCAGGGGUGUUGAUUUUGGCACAACCGGGUUUGUGGUCCAUUGCGCAGAAUGGCAUUGCUGGACCGUAGACCGUGGUUCACAGGGGAGAGCAUGUCUAUUAUUGCUAACUAAUUAUGGAGCUAUUUUGUGAUUUCAACAGGUUAAAUUUUUACUAUACUAUACUGUUGAUAAUAUGGUUAAAAGGUAAAAGAAAAAUAAUCGACCGUCAUGGAUGGUGUGCUUUUCCUGAGUACCAGUGCAAAAGAUGCCGGCCUACUUGACAUGGAAUUGUAUGGAUUAGAAUGACAAGCAUACUGAAUGAAUAGACGAAGAAGGAGAGCGAAGAUGGAGACAGAGGAGGGUGAGGAUAAGCUUGUGAUGAGAGCACGAGAGAGGAAGCCAGCUCAGUAGCACCUCUGUAUCUAUCCUUGCUCACGUCUCCCCAGCUGUGAGCUGCACCUCUGUAUCUAUCCCUGCUCACGUCUCCCCAGCUCUGAGCUGCACCUCUGUUGCCCUUCUCCACACGGAUCUACGGUCUUCAGCAUGCAUGUUAUUUUUCUCUGGUUCUCCAGUCAUGGGUAAAGACUUGCCAAGCUGUGCUACGGACCUUAUGCAAAAUACACGAGCUCUGGCAUAGCCAGCCCUGCCGUAGCAUCCCAGUAAGGUAGGCAUUUUUCAGGACUUUCAACUGUUACUCUCACUUUUCUUCUGGCAUUUUACAAGGGUUAGAGGUGUUUGCAUUUUGCAUAUUAUGUUUCAGCUGUUUGGGUAAUAUUAACUGACUGUUUAUGUUAGGAUUUGGCGUUCUGAGUCGACGGGUACUAUUUUGGUUAUUUUAACCUUUCUAGCCUAGACAACAUCCCUGUGGGUACUUCGCCAGAGGGCAGGUUAACUAUUCUGGGGUGGGUCUGUGUGGUGGAGGAUUUAUACAGCGCUCACGAGCCCGGCUGACUGAGCCAAGUUUCCCGGUCGUAAGUUUCAGACAGGGCACUGGAUGAAGCAAAGCGAGCUAUUGACUGAAAGUAUGCCCUGUCUUCACUUGCUGUCUGAUUGAUACACGACAACACUCCGGAUGUAUGGACUAUAAUGGGAUACAUUUUCUGUGGAGCCUUUGAGACCCUCGAAGCGGCGCGUUCGUUUCUCUCCUUGAUAAACAGACCCUGGACAUCAAAGCAUUCCCCCCUCGGACUCAUCCAGUUGUUCCGUAUUAGCAGUAGACCAUAAUGACUUGCGUUACAAAUAAUUGAUAGUGCUGUGUACCGUGUCUCAUUGACUUGUGUUGCAUUACAUUCAUUUGAAUCCUAGCUACCAAUUGUUUCAUGUUAGCCCAGUUAACUGAAGUUCAGGCUUGAUGCGAUUCAUUAACAGCCCAACACAUGCAGUGGAGGGAUCAGUCAUUAGAUUAAAUGGAGUGCCACCACUAGAGUACAGUACAGUACAGAGUCAGCAAGUGCAGGUUACAAUUCGACCUAGUUCACUGCUUGUGUACAAUCGUUUGAAAAGCAACAGUCAUUGUUUUUGAGUGUUAUUGUGUUCCCUCAAUUCUCUAUAGAUACACUUGCGUCAGACCAUCUCGCAAUGCAUUACCAGCC
ensembl:lncRNA